AGGCUCUUGCGCUACUGACCCAAGGGCAGCAGAAAGCAGGCCUUGCUGUGGGCACCGUUGCCUCUCUGAUUCUUUUGAUCCUUGAUAUCAAGCGGGCCUUCGAUGUAGGUGGGUGAUUUAUGUUUUUUGCCCUCAUGCUGGACAUGUACAACGCGCAGCAGGCCCAAUCUCAUCUUCAGCUGCCUUGGCAUGCCCAUAGAGGGCAUUGAUAUGGUUUUGGGGCGUCUAUUGGUCUUUGAUGAGGAAAUUUUUCUUGCUCGCAGAGGAUGACCCAAAGGCGUGGCCUGGUCCCAAGGCGUGGCCUGCCAGCCUGUCUCUCAUCAGCUUUUUCGCUGUGAACGUGUUUGGCCAAGCGCUACUGCGCGCAUGAUAGGAUGCCUCCUGUUGCCUUCAGUGGUGAUUGUGGGACUUUGGGACUCACAUAGUUUGACAGAAGCCAUUUUGGCGCAAGCCUUUUUGGCGCUACAAGCAUGCACACUGCAGCACUCUUUUUUUAGGCCAUGGACCUGAAUUUCAUAUGUAAAAGCUGUAUACA
rnacentral:lncRNA from 1 species